rnacentral:rRNA from 1 species
GGGGGGGGGGGGGGGGGGGGUGGGCGGGGGGGGGGGGGGGGGGGGGGGGCGGGUGUUGGGGGGUGGUGGAGUGGCGAGCGGGGGCGUGACCCGUGAGUGACCUGCCCUUGACUUGGGGCUAACUUCCGGAGCCUGGGGCUAAUACCGGAUCGGAGCUCCGGCUGCAUGGUGGGGGUUGGACAGUUUCGGCGGUUGGGGAUGGCCUCGCGGCUUCUCAGCUUGUUGGUGGGGUAGUGGCUUACCAAGGCGUUGACGGGUAGCCGGCCUGAGAGGGUGACCGGCCACAUUGGGACUGAGAUACGGCCCAGACUCCUACGGGAGGCAGCAGGGGGGAAUAUUGCACAAUGGGCGGAAGCCUGAUGCAGCAACGCCGCGUGCGGGAUGACUGCCUUCGGGGUGUAAACCGCUUUCGCCUGUGACGAAGCGUGAGUGACGGUAAUGGGUAAAGAAGCACCGGCUAACUACGUG